rnacentral:lncRNA from 1 species
AAUAUUUAAGAGGAAUUAUAGUCAUCAACAGUUUUAAAAUUCAUUCAUAAACAAACUUCAAUUACAUACUAUGUAUAUAGGCUCCGCAACAAGAUCCCGUCCAAGCACUCAUCGAAAAAAGUGAGAAAAGCACUGAGAUCGGCAGCAACAACGGUCUACGCUCGGCAAAACCAAAACUCCACGCUUGGCAAAUAGGCUCAGAUCUGGUCCAAGAACUCACCAAAAAAGUUACUGUAGA